GCUUACGGCCACACCGCCUGGUUCACCCCGAUCUCGGAAGCUAACAUAGGUUGGGCCUGGUUAGUACUUGGAUGGGAGACCGCCUGGGAAUACCAGGUGCUGUAAGCU
rnacentral:rRNA from 1 species